UACAGAGGUGGCAAGCGUUGUUCGGAAUUACUGGGCGUAAAGGGCGCGUAGGCGGCCUUGUAAGUCCUGUGUGAAAUCCCUCGGCUCAACCGAGGAACUGCCUUGGAAACUGUCUGGCUUGAGGCCGGGAGAGGGUAGUGGAAUUCCCAGUGUAGCGGUGAAAUGCGUAGAUACUGGGAGGAACACCGGUGGCGAAGGCGGCUACCUGGACCGGUUCUGACGCUGAGGCGCGAAAGCGUGGGUAGCAAACAGG
rnacentral:rRNA from 1 species